GACGAACGCUGGCGGCGUGCUUAGCACAUGCAAGUCGAACGGUAAGGCCCUUCGGGGUACACGAGUGGCGAACGGGUGAGUAACACGUGGGUGAUCUGCCCUGCACUUCGGGAUAAGCCUGGGAAACUGGGUCUAAUACCGGAUAGGACCACUGCCUGCAUGGGUGGUGGUGGAAAGCUUUUGCGGUGUGGGAUGGGCCCGCGGCCUAUCAGCUUGUUGGUGGGGUGAUGGCCUACCAAGGCGACGACGGGUAGCCGGCCUGAGAGGGUGACCGGCCACACUGGGACUGAGAUACGGCCCAGACUCCUACGGGAGGCAGCAGUGGGGGAUAUUGCACAAUGGGCGCAAGCCUGAUGCAGCGACGCCGCGUGAGGGAUGGCGGCCUUCGGGUUGUAAACCUCUUUCAGCACCGACGAAGCGCAAGUGACGGUAGGUGCAGAAGAAGGACCGGCCAACUACGUGCCAGCCGCCGCGGUAA
rnacentral:rRNA from 1 species